rnacentral:tRNA from 1 species
GCCUGGCUGGCUCAGUCUGAGAGCAUGUGACUCUUGAUCUUGAGAUUGUGAGUUCAAGCCCCAUGUUGGGUG